AAGUCGUAACAAGGUAACCGUAGGUGAACCUGCGGUUGGAUCAUUACUGAAAACUGAAGGAACUUUGAACUUGUUCAUUGUUUAACCUUCUUUUAAAGAGGAAAGGUUCUUGCUAUUUUAUAGCAUUUACCCUACUCGACACCCCACAACCUUGUGAACUGUUCAUAUUGUCUUUGGAGUAUUCUCUGUUUGAAAGGGUCUUGUAAAAGGGACUCUUAGGAGGUGCUCCUACCAAUAUAUUAAAAACAUCUGUUUUUUAUUACUUAAACUUCUUGUUUAUAAGAAAUUAUAAAAAAAGAAAACAACUUUUGACAACGGAUCUCUUGGCUCUC
rnacentral:misc_RNA from 1 species